GAGGGACUAUAAUGCAGUCGAACGGUAGCGGGAAGAAGCUUGCUUCUUUGCCGACGAGUGGCGGACGGGUGAGUAAUGUCUGGGGAUCUGCCCGGUAGAGGGGGAUAACCACUGGAAACGGUGGCUAAUACCGCAUAAUGUCGCAAGACCAAAGUGGGGGACCUUCGGGCCUCACACUACCGGAUGAACCCAGAUGGGAUUAGCUAGUUGGUGGGGUAAGGGCUCACCAAGGCGACGAUCCCUAGCUGGUCUGAGAGGAUGACCAGCCACACUGGAACUGAGACACGGUCCAGACUCCUACGGGAGGCAGCAGUGGGGAAUAUUGCACAAUGGGCGCAAGCCUGAUGCAGCCAUGCCGCGUGUAUGAAGAAGGCCUUCGGGUUGUAAAGUACUUUCAGCGGGGAGGAAGGGGGUGAGGUUAAUAACCUCGCUCAUUGACGUUACCCGCAGAAGAAGCACCGGCUAACUCCGUGCCAGCAGCCGCGGUAAUACGGAGGGUGCAAGCGUUAAUCGGAAUUACUGGGCGUAAAGCGCACGCAGGCGGUCUGUUAAGUCAGAUGUGAAAUCCCCGGGCUUAACCCGGGAACUGCAUUUGAAACUGGCAGGCUUGAGUCUCGUAGAGGGGGGUGGAAUUCCAGGUGUAGCGGUGAAAUGCGUAGAGAUCUGGAGGAAUACCGGUGGCGAAGGCGGCCCCCUGGACGAAGACUGACGCUCAGGUGCGAAAGCGUGGGGGAGCAAACAGGAUUAGAUACCCUGGUAGUCCACGCUGUAAACGAUGUCGACUUGGAGGUUGUGCCCUUGAGGCGUGGCUUCCGGAGCUAACGCGUUAAGUCGACCGCCUGGGAGUAC
rnacentral:rRNA from 1 species